GAUGAACGCUGGCGGCGUGCCUAAUACAUGCAAGUCGAGCGAACAGACGAGGAGCUUGCUCCUCUGACGUUAGCGGCGGACGGGUGAGUAACACGUGGAUAACCUACCUAUAAGACUGGGAUAACUUCGGGAAACCGGAGCUAAUACCGGAUAAUAUAUUGAACCGCAUGGUUCAAUAGUGAAAGACGGUUUUGCUGUCACUUAUAGAUGGAUCCGCGCCGCAUUAGCUAGUUGGUAAGGUAACGGCUUACCAAGGCAACGAUGCGUAGCCGACCUGAGAGGGUGAUCGGCCACACUGGACCUGGGACCCGGUCCAGCCUCCUCGGGAGGCAGCAGUAGGGAAUCUUCCGCAAUGGGCGAAAGCUUGACGGAGCAACGCCGCGUGAGUGAUGAAGGUCUUCGGAUCGUAAAACUCUGUUAUUAGGGAAGAACAAAUGUGUAAGUAACUAUGCACGUCUUGACGGUACCUAAUCAGAAAGCCACGGCUAACUACGUG
rnacentral:rRNA from 1 species